rfam:Variovorax paradoxus strain TBEA6 VPARA_contig000003, whole genome shotgun sequence.
AUCCUUUCCCGUGCACAGCCGAAGCAUCGGCAACUGCCAGCAGCCCCGGUCGUUCAGGCUGCGCCGCGGUCUCCCCGCGCCGACCUCCUUGCCCGCAUCGCAUCGUGCCGCGGACACGCGCCUGCUCAGGGCGUAGGUGC